AUGCAACUACCUUUGUAUUGCCCCACGACUGUUCCUAACAGCAGUAGGAAAGAACUAGAAGAGGAACUAAAAUGCUGGAUGCGUCUGACCUGGCAAGUGAGAACUGGUGAGCACAGAGUGUACUGCACAGAGCUACCAAGGGACGUGGCACGGGGUGUAUUUUGGCCUUGGGCUGGCAAAAUCUCUGCUCUUGCAAAACAAGUCAUGGCAUUCUUACUAUCUGCAAGAAGCUUGCAAGACAGGGAACGCACUGAAGAAUGUGAAAAAAACAUGCAAAACUAUUACAGAGAAACAAGUUUCCAGGCCGGGCGGUGUGUUGAGACUCUAAUGGUAACGCUAAUGCAGGGGCAGAGCCUGCCCACGCCUACACAGAGCAACCCACUCCUCCCUGCCUGCCACGCAGAAGGGAAAGGGAAGUUUGAAAAAAAAUUUGUCUGGCUGCUGGAGAGCUCCAUCUCGUGGUAAAAUUCCAGGAAGAUCUUCACAAGUAUUCCCGUCUGAAGGCAAGUAUCUGAAACUUUACCUGCUGUAUCUAUUCCUGAUAAAGCUGUGCAACGGAAGAAAGAAGCCGAGCUGGCAGUUGUUACAGAUCGUAGGUUUUUGCUUGUCUGCCUGCUCUUCUCACACAGAAGCCCACCGGUUUGGUAUGGCUACUAAUAGCAAUAGGUGUUUGGGGAGGAAAUUUCUGGAAAUGAGUAUGCAGAUGAACAAAACCAUACAUGUUCAUUUGUGUUCUAGGAAAAAAAAGAAGGAGUCAGGGAUGAAUUUAUUUUCUCCCCUAAACUGAAGAAAAUGCUGUCCUUGUCUAGAAUAGUUUAGAAUCUCUUACGUCUGGGUUGGUGCUGCUGAAUGUGCAGUUUAAAGCAGGCUGUACUUAUUACAGCCAUCAGGAGCUUUGGCCAAAUACCCACUAUUACGGGUCUGUGCUGUACAGGGCUGUGUGUUCACCAAAUCCCUGUGCAGUUCAGAACUCAGUUUGCUGCCCACUCUGUGCAGGAGUUGUUUGGAAAAAGAAGUUCAAAUAUUCUCCCCUCCCCCCAAGUCUGGCCCUCCUGGGCCUCACCUGGGAAAAGAUGGGCACCUGCAACCUCAGGGCAGCCGCAAAUCCUGCACAGCUCUUGCGCAGCGCGGUGAAGUCACUGCAACCGGCUCUUUACGUCUCCUGGGAGAGAGGCUGAGUCACGCUGCGUGGUAACUCUGCACCAGCUGAGACAAGGGAGCACAAAGGUUGCUUCUGAUACGCAGUGUGCACCUAUUCUCCCUCUUUUCCUAUGGUUAGAUGAUGGCUUGUCCAGAUCUUCCAAUCAAGGGUGAAUUAUCCCAUUUCAGAACGAAAAUGGAAAUGAGAUAAUAACCAUAAACGCAGCUCUGAACAUGACAACACUGUACAGCGAGUUAGAAAAGUGGGAAAAGUAAGGUGGAUUAUGGGGGAAGACAAGAAGGUUGGGUUUGUGUGUGGGUAUCGUGUGGGUUCUGAAGUGGACUGUUUAAAUUAAAUGUAAUUGAAUUCAUAGUGUUUUAAUAAUCAACAGACAGCUCGCUGUCAAGAAAAUAAAGCCUUUAGUCACAUGUCGUUACCUCA
rnacentral:lncRNA from 1 species